rnacentral:misc_RNA from 1 species
UGAAUUCCUGCCGCACUCGCAGAGCGAGAUCGAGGAAGUCGCCCGCGCGAUGAACACCGAUGCCCGCAAGAUCGCGGAUCGCGCGCGUGAACUGUCCGAGUUCAACCCGAUGCUGGGUUUCCGCGGCUGCCGUCUGGCGAUCGCCUAUCCGGAAAUCGCCGAGAUGCAGGCACGCGCCAUUUUCGAGGCGGCGGUUGAAGCCGGCAAGCGCACCGGCAAACCGGUCGGUCUCGAAGUGAUGGUGCCGCUGAUCGCGACCCGCGCCGAAUUCGACAUCACCAAGGCGCGCAUCGACGCUACUGCACAGUCGGUGAUG